rnacentral:SRP_RNA from 1 species
GCUGGGUGUGGUGGUGCGCACCUGUAAUCCCAGCUACUCAGGAAGCUGAGGCAGGAGAAUCGCUUGAACCUGGGAGGUGGAGGUUGCAGUGAGCCAAGAUUGUGCCACUGCACCCCAGCCUGGGUAACAAAGUGAGACUCCAUCUCAA